UCGAAUGCAGAAGUUCUUUAGAAUGAAACUUGGGCUAAGUGUUCUAACAGUAUACUAAGGACAGCUCGUAAAAGUUGUAGCAAAAGAAUAGAAGCAUUGGUCUAACUGGGAUUGUUUGAACGAACAGUGUUAACAGUUCACAGCGGGCAUGAAUAAGUGUUGUUGAAAAAUGUGAAAAUUUGUAACUUUGAAACAUUGAGAACAAUGUUUGCUCUAUGGGUGACCAUUUUAGUUUGCAUCUAUACAUAGAGAUUUUUCACGGGGUAACAGAAAUUUGUCAAGCGUGACCGAAGGAAAGAGCGGUGGUUUCCAGCAAGGAAAUUUAUGGGUCGCAACGUGUCGACGGAAACCUUAAAUUUUAACGUCCCUGUCGCGCACUCGGUUGGGCCCUACCCUGCCUGUUAAGGACCUGGCAAAGGGGGAUUAUGACUUGACUGGUACGAGCGAGCGUAGAACGGCGAGGAGUGGUUUCUCCUCUCACGGUGGGGGAGAGCUAGAAGUAUGGUAGCGACAUAGAGAGGAGGAGACGCAGGGAGGUUAUGUAGACGGUGCUACAGGAAAAGGUGUAGGGAAGAGGGUGGGUUAUGGGGUAUAACACGACGAAGAACAUCCGAAUAAAAUAAUAAUAAACCGCGGAUACGUUUCAGCGCGCAUCGUUCUUUCUUCCUUCCUGAUAUUUCGCCUCUUUUUCUCUCUCCGCUUUAACCUUUCCUGUUUCUGCGUUCUCCGAAAUGAAUGAGUCGAGUCUAACCGUUUGAAUGAAACAAAUAUGAUGACUAUAGAUGGUGCGACGUAACUGUGAAGUCGGUGAAUACGAAAGGUACUAUUGGAUACUUAUAGUAGGCAAGUGAAUUUAAGCGAUUAUAGUUAGACCACCAAAGGCCUGCCGACAGCAACGGAACGCGAUAUUUUGAGUCUCGCGUGUCACGCAAGGAUCGACGCAAUCUUGUCUGGCUUAUAACGUUAUAACGAAAGAUGAUUAUAGGUAUUUUGAGGGAGAACGUUCAACGCGAAGCAACUGGUGUAUUAAGAAUAAUGAAAAUGCAACGACUGCUAUUAAACUGAGAUUAAGCCCACCUCACCGAGAUCCGCCUCAAACUUAAUCAGAGCUUAACCAGUGAUCUAACUCAAGUUUAAUCUUCAAGUGCCGUUGUCAAGGCUUUGAAUAUAUUUAUCGAUACUACUUUACAAUUCCAUGAUAUUUUACUGAAAGGUUAACAAAAUGCCUGAGAGAUUGACAUUGACUUAAUUAGGAUUCUGCCUGGAAUGGAUGUAAAUACAUAAGUGUCUUUGAGUUUAAUAAUAGGUGCACUGUCAAAGUCGAGUUACCUUUGCGAAUGUACUAUUUUGCAAAUAGUAGCGUGUCAUAACGAUUUCCCGAUCAAUUUACAGGCCAUACAUUUAUCGCGGCUACGAAAAGCGACUGGAUGUAUCUUUUCAGGGACAAAUCAAUGGAGUUAGCGAGCGGCGGUGGCCGUUUGAUGUCGAGAAACAGCUCGACCCGUUGGAUUCAGCUAUCUGAACGUCGUCGCCGACGGCGGUGGCAUCCUACCGCGAUAACGCCAUUAUGCGAAUUCGCGAUUUGCAUAUUUCAGAAAGCGUUGCACAGGAAAGCAUAAACAACUCCGUUCUCUCGCAACGAGAGCGCCGUGGCUUCCUCGUCAGAAGAGUUACACGCAUGAAAGAUUUACGGAGAGUGUACGUUUCCCUUUUCUUUCUCCUUUUUCCACUCUUUUUCCCUGUCUUCUUUUCUUUUUUUUUAGGGAACACUCGCACUUUGUAUUCAGGCAUAAAUGCAUGGCGACUCGAAAUAUGGGAAUUGGUUGAAUUCAUGAAAAGGAUCUUCGCGAAGGAACAAGUGGAAAAAACCGGUUUGUCGUUUUGCUAGAUAGCAGUUUACAAUUUUGAACAAAUAUUGUGACGAAGAGAACGCUGUCUUGAAUCGCAAGGAGAAUUUAUGUUCCGUGCUUCGUUCGGUGUUCAAGACGAUUUAACAAUACGGUAACUCGCUGUUCAGUUUGAUCUUACCACUUGGAAAUUGUCUUCUAGCUAGUCUUCUAUUAAUAGCGGGGUAACAAUGUAACGCAAUACAAUAAUUUAGCGAAAAAUCGCUUAACAUUAUCUUAACAUUAUGUAUAUCCCACUAUACAACGUUUUCCGUAUCGAAUUCAGCAACGGUAAGAACGAGAAAUACACGGGGAUCAUCGCGUCGCUGUUUUCCCCUGUAUUUUAAUGCGAGCAACCUCUUAUCGAGACAACAUGAAACGUUUCAGCGCUAGUUUUACCACGACAAGUGGCGGAACGCGCGAAACGCUUAUAUAAGUAAUAUAAUUGAUUCGUUACAAGCGCUUCUACACGACAGAUAAGUUUAUCUGCAACGCGCAUCGACGAAACCGGUUAGAUAACGAGCGGCGCUACAUCAUAUAGUAAGCUUUAAUUAUUCGGAUAAUGAGACUCGCCGCGUCCCUCCACUGUCUAAUGACAAAUAGCGUCGACCCGACUUCUCGACCAUAAGCCACCGUGGUAACAUGUCGGAACUUCCGGAGGACGAAUGACACCGAUUUCCGGUGUCUCUUUAUAUCGCUGCCUCAGUUCUUUAUUUUCGCGCUGUCUGUUUCAGCUGCGAUUCUAAUUUGUUCUUAUUCAGAUUCCAAAGAGCGAGUCGAGAAACAAGAAACCGUGCUUUAUAGCUAGCUUAUUUUAUAUGUUCAGAAACUUCGGUGUAAUAUGUUUUGAAAAAUUAGUCUGAACAGCCGUAUUAUACGGGUGUAAUUGGGGUAAAGGUUGGGGUGGUAUUCUGGAUCUAACGUACAGCGAUCCCCUUGGACAAAUGUCUUAGUUAUGCCAAUACCUCACUUAUUAAAAGAGAAAACGAUAAAGAUAAUCGUGUUAUGAUGUCACAUGUGAUGGUAAAAACCUGAUACGAUAACGAAGAAAAAAAUCGUCGAGCAAAAGAACGGAACCCGUUCUCACCUGUUCGUCUUAAUGAGCUACCAUUAUUAAUAAACUCGUCACGCCGGCCAGCUGCGCCCGGAUGAACCGCCUUUCCAGCACGAAUUUCAAUUUCCACGCGAUACCGUAAAGCAUCGAGGUAUGAAAACUUCAGUGAUUCGAGAAGAAGCGAAUCACCGUGGAAGAUCUUGAAUGACGUACGCGGAGUCUCCGUCGAAUUCCAUACGAACCACGUUUCAGCGGAUAUUUACCUGUGUAUCCUGAUGGCCGAACUGCUGUCGAACAUCGGGUUUUACAGCGGCAAGCAGCGCCCUAUCGUGGCCAUCAUCGAGGUCCAGGAUCCUGCGACUGGUUACACGCAAGUAGAUGGAUGAAGGUGGCUGGAACAAGGUGGCGGCUGAUGGGUGUAAAUUCGAGAUACGAUCUCCGGUGUCCCUUUCCAACAGGAUUUACCGACUGCUGCGUCUUCUGGGCGCAGUUUUACUCGGUUUUUAAUUAUCCUUAGCUCCUGAGACAAAGGCAUCCGCCGCGGCCGUCGCGUCGUCAGCCAGGUAACUGUCGUGCCUCUGCGGUACACCGGAGGAUCCAGAAGGCUGCGGGAACCCUUGGAACUGGGACGUGACGUAUCGGUCCUUGGAACCGAAGAAUCUUGGGAAUGAAUCGAUUAAAUAUGUAAAUAGCUUUUCGAAUUGUUCGAGAGGUUGUAGGGGGACGGAGGAACACGGUGAUACAGAGAUACACGCUGCAGCGUGUAUUAUUUUUUUUCGCUCGACCGAAGGGUUUAAAGAAACGUAGGAAAACUAGGAUCUCGUUGCGAGAGCAGGACAUAGAGGACAUAGAUAGGUGGGAGGCCUUUCGGUGACGAGGAGGUGCUGAAAGAAAAAUCAAGAAGACGUCAACGGCGAACGAAAGGAGAAGCAGAAUGGAGAAAAUUAUAGAAUGAACAAGCUAGUUUUAGAUUAAUUUAAGUAUCGUGAUACAUAAUAGAGUUGUAAACUGAGCUCAUCUCAGGGCUGUGAAGCUGAAAUUAACGUUGUUUAGGAUUAUUUAUGGGUGUUUGAUGAAAAUUGUAUUUCCUUUAUCAUAAUUUUUGCCGUUAAUUGCAUUGGCGAUGAGUAGACGCUUGACAAUAAGAUGUUAAUUGUCUUCUGGGCCGGUAGAACAAAGGGCCCUAGUAGAACUGCACUCGCAGAAACGAGAAAAUGAUUUAUUAAGCUGUUUGCCGAAGCUACAUCGCGAAGGGACAUAAAUUCAGACGGUACAAGAGUCAGUCCUGACGAAACUGUUUGCAAUUUAGAUUCCUCCGUGAAAUCUGUGUCGGGUCUUCAUACAGUUUCGCUAGGACGCUAUAAAAGACGAUCCUCCCGGGUCGCAUUAUCAUUUUAAUUGCUUCGUUUUGUGUCAAACCCUUUUUGCCAGAUCCUUAUCUCCGCGCCGGGACAAAUUAGCACCCCGACUGUGUUCAGUUAAAACCUGUUCGUUGGAAUCUGCAAAUUACCUUUUCUGCCGCCUCGACGCAAAGGACACCGGACACAUUCGAGUGCGCCUUUUACGCGAACAUCUUGCGACAAGUGUUGCAAGUGCAAAUUAGCAAAUUUACCAUUGAACGAUCAUGGAAUCUUGCUCUGAAUGCAAACCGUACAAGAACAACCGUACUAUUUGCGGCUAGAAGCGCCCGUAUUCUACGAAGAGUGACCUUAGCUCCUUGAUUUCUGAAUUAUAGGAUUGAUUCUGGUAUUGAAAAAUGGACAUUCAUCUUGUUAUCUUCUUAAUCGAAGUAAAUUCACGCACAGGAUCUGCGAAUUGACUUUUUCGCUGCUCUCCAAAAGAGGGGUCCAAAAGAGAGCGGAAGUGAUGAAUGGCGAAGGCAGGUCUUUUGAGAGCCGGUGAUCUUUUCGAGCGAGAGGGGUACACGAAAGACACAAAGCGCCGCUAUCCGCACCAUCAGUGUCCGAUACCAGGCUCAGGUGACACGCUUUCCAAAAGAGGAAACAAUUGGAAUAUAGAAGACACAACAAAAUAGAACAGAAGCGUUGUCACAACUGUACGCGAUUAACCAAAUCCCGGGAGACUUAGGAUCGUUCACUGCGGGAGCAGUUUAUCAGGAUUACGUCGAAAAAUGAUCCUAUGCAGCGAACAAGAAGAUACUAUUCAUCGGAAAGCCAGGAAAUCCUUUGUCACAGAUAAUGGUACUCGAGCGAGACUAACCUAGGAAAGAUUAUCCACCAAUUACUUGGUCCCUGUAAAUCCUGUUUCUCGCGCGGUCAAGUCCGUAUGCAAUGAAUUUCACGACAAUUCGCGCGUAACUUGUAGUUAACCAUUAGUAAAUGGCUUCGUUUGGAAGAGGAA